rnacentral:rRNA from 1 species
GGGGAAUUUUGGACAAUGGGCGCAAGCCUGAUCCAGCCAUUCCGCGUGCAGGACGAAGGCCUUCGGGUUGUAAACUGCUUUUGUACGGAACGAAAAGGCUCUGGCUAAUACCUGGGGCUCAUGACGGUACCGUAAGAAUAAGCACCGGCUAACUACGUGCCAGCAGCCGCGGUAAUACGUAGGGUGCAAGCGUUAAUCGGAAUUACUGGGCGUAAAGCGUGCGUAGGCGGUCUGUUAAGUCUGCUGUGAAAUCCCCGGGCUCAACCUGGGAAUGGCAGUGGAAACUGGCGGUCUAGAGUACGGUAGAGGAUGGUGGAAUUCCCGGUGUAGCGGUGAAAUGCGUAGAGAUCGGGAGGAACACCAGUGGCGAAGGCGGCCAUCUGGACCAGUACUGACGCUGAGGCACGAAAGCGUGGGGAGCAAACA